ensembl:snRNA U6 U6 spliceosomal RNA
GUGUUUACUUUGCAGCACAUAUAGUAAAAUUGGAACAUACAGAGAUUAGCAUGGCACCUGCAUAAAGAUGACACACAAAUUUGUGAAAUGUUCCAUAUCCAA